GGAAGGCGGGUCGGACACGUCGCCUUAGUCAUCCUUCCUCAUCCUUCCUCCUUUUUGGAUUUAGGCACAGCUGAGCAGCAUUAGCGUUAAAGAAGAGAUCAUGAGACUGACAGAGCAGACUCUUCGUGGCAGUAAGACACCAAAUUCCAGCCUCACGUUAGCACCACAGGACAGAUGGAAGACCCUGAAGGCUUAGAGGAAAUAAAGGAAAUAUCCCAGGAGCAAAAACAAAACACACACAAGCAUGCUCUCACGAGUCACUGGCAUCUCAGCUGAAAAGUCAGUUCCACACCUGUGGGACCUGUGGGCCUGUUUCCGAGCUCUGUUCUGUCUCUUUGAUCUGAGUGUCUAUCUGAGGCCAAUACCACAGUACCAAACGUGGUUGCUUUAGAGGAAGUCUUGAAAUCAGAUGGGACUGAAGAGAUCUGUGUUGAUGUUAAUGCUGGUCGGCUUUUCCUGAAUUCGAACGGGAGAGGAAUGAUGAGGCUCAUCCAACCCCAUUCCCAUCGUGGGCUGAGCUAGUUUUCAGGUUAACUCUGGAAUGCCCUUGGCCAAGGGGAGGGGUCUGUUUAGAUUGUUGAGAGGUUCAGAAUUUAUUUUUGGUUUACAUGUUAUGCAGAAUUUUCUACAGACGAUGAUGCCCUCUGUGAAUAAUGAUAAUCUCACCCUUUUCUUUCCAAACGUGAUAUGUUUUUUGUCUGAGUGAGCCGACUAGGAUUCCCAGCACCAUCGUGAACGGCAGUUGCGAGCGCAGGCAGCCUUCUGCUGCUUCCGAUCUUAGAGAAAUGAAAAUGAAGUUAGCUUCUAUAAAAUUAUGAAGAAGAAAGGCAGUGUCAUAAUGAUCAUGCCGGAACCAAGGACUGGCCUGGAAGAUGGGCCUCCAAGUUCACAGGGACACCAGCAGGCACUGGUUCUCGACAUAGAGCCUCAGUUCCAGAAUGUUCCAUGACAUGACCAGGAGCAGGUGACCAGCCCUCCCGAACUCCAUGUCUUAUUCACCAGGCAGUGGUAACUGCAGGCUGGCCCUGACCAGGAUGACCACUGGCCCACACUGUGGAUGCACUUUGUGUUCGGCCUGCACUGCACAUUGGCUCACCCACGUGCUGGGCUGUCCAGGGUCCAGGGGAAGCUCCAGGGCCACAUUUGAGGAUCAGGAGAGCAACCUGCACAGUGCAGGACACUUGGCAGGGAGACGACGACCUGGGAGCCUUUCCUAGAAGACAGAGUCCCCGCAAAUACCCAUGACAUGGGCCUCAUCACAGCACUGUCUGAGAGUGCUUGGAGAGAGGAAACCUGCCUGCAGCUGUUCCCAGAGCAGUGGGGCAGGGGACGCUCCCCUACUGAAGAAGGUAUUUCCUUUUGGUGCCUCCAGUUCCUCCUGCCAGGACGUCGGCACCCAGGCUCCAACGCGGGCUGCUGGGGGCCACUGGCCGCAGCACUUCAAUGUGGGGUGGGGGCUGCUGUGCUGCUGUGUGGACUUGGGGACACGGCACUCCAAUGCUGCCCUGGAUUGCAUGGGGUGGGGGGGCUAUAGACGUAAAAUUCAAGUUGGAUUUUAGAGACUUAGUAUGUGGAAUAGAGUCUCAAAUGUCCAAAGAUGUGUUGUGUUGAUUUCAGGGUGAAUUGAUAGUUGUUCUGAUAUACUGAGUUUAGUAAAAUACAUCAGCAGCGGGAAUUUCA